rnacentral:tRNA from 1 species
GCGCCAGUAGCUCAGCUGGUAGAGCAGCUGACUCUUAAUCAGUUGGUCGUGGGUUCGAAUCCUACCUGGCGCA